CGUACGAACGAAGGCGAUAAAGCGGGCAAACAGCAGCGCGGAAAGCCCGUGCUUAUGGAACAGAUGAUACGCGCGCUGGUGGUAGUGUGAGGGAAGGUGCGAUAGCCAGUUUUGUACGAUUCGCCUAUUUCCCAGCCAGCGGCCCUGAAUAUAGCU
rnacentral:rRNA from 1 species